rnacentral:rRNA from 1 species
UUUAACAUGAGAGUUUGAUCCUGGCUCAGGAUGAACGCUGGCGGCGUGCUUAACACAUGCAAGUCGAACGAAGCACUUUAUUUGAUUUCCUUCGGGACUGAUUAUUUUGUGACUGAGUGGCGGACGGGUGAGUAACGCGUGGGUAACCUGCCUUGUACAGGGGGAUAACAGUUGGAAACGGCUGCUAAUACCGCAUAAGCGCACAGCAUCGCAUGAUGCAGUGUGAAAAACUCCGGUGGUAUAAGAUGGACCCGCGUUGGAUUAGCUAGUUGGUGAGGUAACGGCCCACCAAGGCGACGAUCCAUAGCCGACCUGAGAGGGUGACCGGCCACAUUGGGACUGAGACACGGCCCAAACUCCUACGGGAGGCAGCAGUGGGGAAUAUUGCACAAUGGGCGAAAGCCUGAUGCAGCGACGCCGCGUGAGCGAAGAAGUAUUUCGGUAUGUAAAGCUCUAUCAGCAGGGAAGAUAAUGACGGUACCUGACUAAGAAGCACCGGCUAAAUACGUGCCAGCAGCCGCGGUAAUACGUAUGGUGCAAGCGUUAUCC